CUGACCUGCUGAGUUCCUCCAGCACUCUGUGCUACUGUCAUAGAGUGAUACAGUGUGGAAACAGUAACUUCGGCCCAACUUGUCCACACCGGCCAACAUGUCCCACUGGCUACACUAGUCCGAUCUGCCUGCACUUUGUCCAUAUUCCUCCCACCUUUUCCUAUCCAUGCACCCGUCUAACUGUUUCUUAAACGUUGGGAUAGUCCCAGCCACAAUUACCUCCUCUGG